GUGUCACUUCAGCAGCACAUACACUAAAAUUGAAACAGUAUGAAGGUCAGCAUGGCCCUUGUACAAGGGUGAUAUGCAGACUUGGAGAGCAUUCCACAUUUUCU
ensembl:snRNA U6 U6 spliceosomal RNA